GUGACGGCGUACCUUUUGUAUAAUGGGUCAGCGACUUACGUUCAGUAGCAAGCUUAACCGAAUAGGGCAGGCGUAGCGAAAGCGAGUCCGAAUAGGGCGUUCAGUUGCUGGGCGUAGACCCGAAACCAGAUGAUCUAUCCAUGGCCAGGUUGAAGGUGCGGUAACACGUACUGGAGGACCGAACCCACUAGUGUUGAAAAACUAGGGGAUGAGCUGUGGAUAGGGGUGAAAGGCUAAACAAAUCUGGAAAUAGCUGGUUCUCUCCGAAAACUAUUUAGGUAGUGCCUCGUGUCUCACCUUCGGGGGUAGAGCACUGUCAUGGUUGAGGGGUCCAUUGCGGAUUACCUCGCCAUAGCAAACUCCGAAUACCGAAGAGUGUAAUCACGGGAGACAGACAUCGGGUGCUAACGUCCGGUGUCAAGAGGGAAACAACCCAGACCGCCAGCUAAGGUCCCCAAAUAUGGCUAAGUGGGAAACGAAGUGGGAAGGCUAAAACAGUCAGGAGGUUGGCUUAGAAGCAGCCAUCCUUUAAAGAAAGCGUAAUAGCUCACUGAUCGAGUCGUCCUGCGCGGAAGAUGUAACGGGGCUAAGCCAUAUACCGAAGCUGCGGGUGCACAGUAAUGUGCGCGGUAGGAGAGCGUUCCGUAAGCCUGCGAAGGUGUCUUGUAAAGGAUGCUGGAGGUAUCGGAAGUGCGAAUGCUGACAUGAGUAGCGAUAAAGGGGGUGAAAGGCCCCCUCGCCGUAAGCCCAAGGUUUCCUACGCAACGUUCAUCGGCGUAGGGUGAGUCGGCCCCUAAGGCGAGGCAGAAAUGCGUAGCUGAUGGGAAGCAGGUCAAUAUUCCUGCACCGUCGUGAGAUGCGAUGGGGGGACGGAUCGCGGAAGGUUGUCCGGGUGUUGGACGUCCCGGUCGCUGCAUUGGAGAAGGCGCUUAGGCAAAUCCGGGCGCGGAAUUCAAGGGUGUGGCGCGAGCGGCUUUAGGCCGCGAAGCAAUCGGAAGGGGUCCCAAGAAAAGCCUCUAAGCUUCAGUCUCACGAUGACCGUACCGCAAACCGACACAGGUGGGCGAGAUGAGUAUUCUAAGGCGCUUGAGAGAACUCGGGAGAAGGAACUCGGCAAAUUGGUACCGUAACUUCGGGAUAAGGUACGCCCUGGUAGCUUGACCCCCCUGCGGGGGAAGGGUGAAGGGGUUGCAAUAAACUGGUGGCUGCGACUGUUUAAUAAAAACACAGCACUCUGCAAACACGAAAGUGGACGUAUAGGGUGUGACGCCUGCCCGGUGCCGGAAGAUUAAAUGAUGGGGUGCAAGCUCUUGAUUGAAGUCCCGGUAAACGGCGGCCGUAACUAUAACGGUCCUAAGGUAGCGAAAUUCCUUGUCGGGUAAGUUCCGACCUGCACGAAUGGCGUAACGAUGGCCACACUGUCUCCUCCCGAGACUCAGCGAAGUUGAAGUGUUUGUGAUGAUGCAAUCUCCCCGCGGCUAGACGGAAAGACCCCAUGAACCUUUACUGUAGCUUUGCAUUGGACUUUGAACCGAUCUGUGUAGGAUAGGUGGGAGGCUAUGAAACCGGAACGCUAGUUUCGGUGGAGCCGCCCUUGAAAUACCACCCUGGUUUGUUUGAGGUUCUAACCUUGGCCCGUGAUCCGGGUCGGGGACAGUGCAUGGUAGGCAGUUUGACUGGGGCGGUCUCCUCCCAAAGGGUAACGGAGGAGUACGAAGGUACGCUAGGUACGGUCGGAAAUCGUGCUGAUAGUGCAAUGGCAUAAGCGUGCUUAACUGCGAGACCGACAAGUCGAGCAGGUGCGAAAGCAGGUCAUAGUGAUCCGGUGGUUCUGUAUGGAAGGGCCAUCGCUCAACGGAUAAAAGGUACUCUGGGGAUAACAGGCUGAUACCGCCCAAGAGUUCAUAUCGACGGCGGUGUUUGGCACCUCGAUGUCGGCUCAUCUCAUCCUGGGGCUGUAGCCGGUCCCAAGGGUAUGGCUGUUCGCCAUUUAAAGAGGUACGUGAGCUGGGUUUAAAACGUCGUGAGACAGUUUGGUCCCUAUCUGCCGUGGGCGUUGGAAGUUUGAGGGGGGCUGCUCCUAGUACGAGAGGACCGGAGUGGACGAACCUCUGGUGUACCGGUUGUCACGCCAGUGGCAUCGCCGGGUAGCUAUGUUCGGAAGAGAUAACCGCUGAAAGCAUCUAAGCGGGAAACUCGCCUCAAGAUGAGACUUCCCCGGGGCUUCGAGCCCCUUGAAGGGUCGUUCAAGACCAGGACGUUGAUAGGUCGGGUGUGUACACGCAGUAAUGCGCUGAGCUAACCGAUACUAAUUGCCCGUAAGGCUUGAUCCUAUAACCGGAGCGUUUUG
rnacentral:rRNA from 2 species